rnacentral:rRNA from 1 species
GUCUGAUGGAGCGACGCCGCGUGUGGGAUGAAGGUCUUUGGAUUGUAAACCACUGUCACGCGUUAUGAAUGCGCAGCAGUUAAUACCUUCUGCGUUGACAAAGGCGCGAGAGGAAGUCACGGCUAACUCUGUGCCAGCAGCCGCGGUAAUACAGAGGUGGCAAGCGUUGCUCGGUAUCACUGGGCUUAAAGGGCGCGUAGGCGGUGCGGUACGGUUUCGGUGAAAUCCCUCGGCCCAACCGAGGAACAGCCGGGGCUACGGCCGCGCUAGACGGCAUCAGGGGACAGUGGAACUCCCGGUGGAGCGGUGAAAUGCGUAGAUAUCGGGAGGGACGCCGGUGGCGAAAGCGACUGUCUGGGGUGCCUGUGACGCUGAGGCGCGAAAGCCAGGGGAUCAAACGGGAUUAGAUACCCCGGUAGUCCUGGCCCUAAACGAUGCGCACUAGGUAGCGGGGGAUUCCGAUUUCCCGCUGCCGGAGUAAAAAUCUUAAGUGCGCCGCCUGGGGAGUACGGCCGCAAGGUUAAAACUCAAAGGAAUUGACGGGGGC